CCGUAUCUUCAGGUCCCUGUUCGGGCACCAACUGCCGGAGACCAGCUCCGGAGUGUUCCUCACAGAAAGCUGAAGUUGGG
ensembl:miRNA